CAGUCGCCGCGGGAAUACGAAGGGUGCAAGCGUUAAUCGGAAUUACUGGGCGUAAAGCGUGCGUAGGCGGUUUGUUAAGUCUGUUGUGAAAUCCCCGGGCUCAACCUGGGAAUGGCAAUGGAUACUGGCAAGCUAGAGUGUGUCAGAGGAUGGUGGAAUUCCCGGUGUAGCGGUGAAAUGCGUAGAGAUCGGGAGGAACAUCAGUGGCGAAGGCGGCCAUCUGGGACAACACUGACGCUGAGGCACGAAAGCGUGGGGAGCAAACAGGAUUAGAGACCCCUGUAGUCCCUGUCUCUUAUAC
rnacentral:rRNA from 1 species